AAAGGGUCCCUUUCUCCCUGGCUCCUCCAGCAGCGCAAUGUGAUCCACCGGCAAGGAGGGACGCCAAUAAGGUGUCUGAUAAGAUAAGUCUUAUAAAAUAUAUAGGUUUAUGAUAAUUGAGACUGAGCUAGCAGAUGAGGAAUCCUAGUCAUUGGCCAAGCAGCACUGAACCUAAUACAAGUUUCUGCGUAUUCAUUUGGGCCUAACUCGGGCAGGCGGCUGGCGUGAAGCUCACACGUGGCGGUAGGGGCUCGGUGGCAUUUGGUGGAAAGAUUUAUCGUAACACUUAGUCAUGUGCCUGUGCUCUGCCCUGGAUCUGCUCAGCCACCAGCACUCUUGUGUGUCACCCCUCCAUUCCUUCCCAGCUCAUUUUUUUCUCUGUUUGUCUACCGACUCGAGCCUGCCUUUAUCUCUGUAUUUAUCUAUCUAUUCUUCCAUAUCUCUCUAACUUUGUUUGUUUGUUUGUUCUUGUUUUUCAAGACAGGAUUUCACUGUGUAACCCUGGCUGUUCUAGAACUCUGUAUGUAGACCAGACUGGCCUUGAACUCAGGGAUCCAUCUGCCUCUGCCUCUGCCUCUGCCUCUGGAGUGUUGGGAUUAAAGGCAUGCACCACCAACACCCAGAAGGUUAUUUUGUUUUGUUUGUGAGAUAUUUUCUCUGUGUAGCCCUGGCUGUCCUGGAACCCACUAUAUAGAUCAGAAUGGCCUUAUUCCCAGAGAUCUGCCUGCUUCUGGCUCCCAAGUGCUGGGAUUAAAGGCAUGCACCAACUCCAACCAGCCCUCUCUGGCUUUUUAAAAUAACUUUUAAAUUUAUUUAUUUAUUUAUUUAUGUGUGUGUGUGUGUGUGUGUGUGUGUGUGAGCGAGCAUGCGCUCAGGAGCGAGCUCUCGCGCACACACACACACACAUACACACACACACACACACACACACACACACACACACACACUUGGUGGCAAGCACUCUUACCCCACCCUUUGAGAUCUAUUUGUUUUUAUGUGUAGGUGUUUGCCUACACAAAUGCAUGUCUGUGCACCAUAUGUGCAGUGUCUGAAGAGACUGGAAGAUGUUUUGGACCCCCUAUGACUGAGUUAUACUCUGCCAUGCAGGCACUUGAAAUUGAGCCAGUGCUCUUAACUGCUGGGCCGUCUCUCCAGUCUGUGCCCUCUUCUGAAACAGGGUGUCUCUCUACAUAACUCCUCCUUGUCCAGAAUUCACUAUAUAGAUCAGGCUGGCCUCAAACCUGCAAUGAAUCCUCUUGUUUCUACCAAUCUAGCACUAGGAUUUCAGACAUGAGCCACCACACCCUGCUUUCAGGUUAGCCCAGGCUGGCCUCAGAAUUGCUAUAUACUUGAAGAUGACCUUGAACUCCUGGUUUACAUCUCUCUGAGUUCUAGGGUAGUGCUGCCAGGCAGGGUUGGGGAUCUGUACCCAGUCUGGGACAGAAGAGUCUCAAGGGCUGGCCCUGGGACGGAUCCUGGACAGCUUGAUCAGGAGUUUCUUCUGAGUCAAGCUCUGAGAAACAAUUGCCAGGGCUCAACCAUGCCAGGGAAACGAGGUGGGAGAGCCUACAGAAGGAUGGGAAGAAUAAGCCCCGGCCGUCCAUUCAUCCUGCAAGUUUAACCCUACCACGCCCUCCACCCUUACCCAUCCCACUGUAGAGGUGGAACUGGCCUCAGCCUGUCUCCAUUAGCUCCCUAUCUUCGGACAAUCCAGGGGUAGAAGCCUGGGGAGAAGGAGGGAUAAGUGUCUGUGGAAUGACAGUGAUACUCCGGGCAUGCACAUCCAACAGAUGCCCAUGGACUCCCAGCUCAGGUCCACACUUACAUGUCUGUGAGCUCACACUCAAGCACAGGCUCCCUGUCUGGCUCAGGAGAUACCCGUUGUUAUCCAGUAAAUAUAUAUGAAGCCACUACCCUCAUGUCCUAGACCCUUGUUAAGCAGCUGGUGUUACUAUCCCAUGCAUGACAAACCUAGACAAGACAUCUUAACCACCAUGAUGCUUUAUUGACGCAAAAUCAUCAGAGACAUUGAAAUUGUAAGUCCCAUUGCAAAGAAACAGUGUGGGGGCCAGGCAAGGUCUUCUUGGCUUCAUGCAGGCUGGAACUGCUCGGGGAGCUCCUUGAAGGCAUAGAGACCUGGAAGGACAUGCUGAGGGCUAGGGCUUUACCACAGGAUGGCCUUUUCCUUCUUCCUCCCCUUCAUUCACAUUUUCCUUCUUUCCUUCCUUUUUCUUUCUUUAUAGACAGUACUGUGCAACCCAGGCUGGCCUCCAGCGUGCUCUGCAGCUGACAAUGACAUUUAAUUUCCUGAAGCUCAUGACUUGACCUCCCAAUCCUAGGAUUGCAGAUAUGAGCCACAGUAUUUGGUUUAUGUGCUACCAGGGAUCAAAACCAGGGCUUCGUGCAUGCUAGGCAAGCACUGUCCCAGUUUAGCUACAUCCCCAGUCCCUGGGGUAUCUUUCCAAGUUUACAAAGGCCCCUUAUGGGCUGGCAAUAGCUUAUUCAGUCUACUCUUGGGGAUAGUUUCCUAUCCUCCAUCUUUUCUACCCAAUCCACUGGUGACCAAAGCCCAAUUUCGGCUUCUGUCUCAUUGUCACCAGAGAAGGUUAGAUAUGCACACCUUGCCAUACAUUUGCUCAAUUGCCCCCAUGCAGUCGGCAUCACACACAGACUCCCAUGGCCUCUAACACCACAUUAUAGACGUGACGUUCAAAGGCUCGAUCACACAAUAUUCUCACACAUGUCCUGUUAAGUGUGUGUACACAUGACCCGUUAUAUCCCAUGUCUCAGGAUGCUACUCCCAUAGCCACCGCCUCACCCCAGCUGCACACGACACCUCACACUCUGUUACAUGGGCCACAUCCAUGUGCACACACAGCGUAGUUGCUCAUACAUGACAACCACGCUCCUGUUAGGUUUCUAGAGACAAGCAUGUGGAGCCCCUGAUCACAGCUAAAUGUCAGCGAGUCCCUCUCCUCCCAGUUAGAGAUGAAUUGUUGCUCGGGAGAUAUUUCAUCCUUAAUGCCUCCUGCUUGAACUGGAGCAUGCGUCUCCAGGAGGUUACGCUUCUCCCGAUCUGUCUACUGCUCCCCCCACCCCAGGGACCUGCCCUCCUGCUUCUCAGCUUUCAUGGGGGGCGGGCAGAGUCUCCCUCUCCCCUUACAGCUUCUCCUCAUCCCUUCUCUCCCUGUGAACUCAGCUCCUGGCAAAAGAACAAAGCCCAGGAAACUGCCCUGGCCCCCUUUGCAGCCUUCAAGUCAAGAGGUGUCCCUAGGGCCCAGGAGUCAUAGCUUACCCAGCCCCCACUCUGACUGCUACCUGCAUUCAGGACCAGAGUAGCCCUUGGCAAGGAGAACAGUCGGGGCUACAAAGAGUGGGUCUGGCCUUGAAGGACAGCCCCUCUUAGGGGUCUGUGCACACACAAUCCUCUGUCAUAUUAAAAAAAAAAAAAUCCAACAUGUUCACUCUCCUGGGUUUGGCCCAUAGCAUUACAAAAGCAACACACACAAAAAGUUGUAAAGAGCGCUGACAUGAGGGUGACCUGGCAAAAUCUUUCAGGAGGAAAGCUGUGUAAGAGGCACCCAAAGCCCCGUAAGGUGUAUCCCUUCGCCCCAACAAUGCCAUGUUUAAGAAUUACUGUUAUGAAUGCAGACCAGGAGAGUUCAGAAAAUUUGGCUUCAAGGGCUCAUCCCAGCCUCGUUUAUAAGAAUGAAAAAUUGGAAACAACCUAAACCUCUCCCACAGUAGGGGUUGGCAAUGAUACAGCCAUCCACAGAAUACUGUGUAGCCAUUAAAACACUGGAAGAAUGUUUAGCAUCGUUGAACGACAUACCCCACAUAACGCUGAAUGAACAAGCAGGUUGCAAAGCAGUGUGUAUUUCAAUGCAAUGCUGUGUCCUGGACUGGAUCCUGGAUGAAGAAAAGGAUUUGUGUGGAAAAACCCACCACAGUCAAAUAAAAUCUAGAGUUCAGUUAUUAACGGGGAGCCAGUGCUGAGUUCCUGGCUCUGACAAAUGCAUCAAGAUAAUGUAAGAUUUCCAUAGUGGGGGAGACUGCAGAAGGCAGACACGGAUACUCCCUGUGUUAGCUUUACAAGUUGUUAAGUCUAAAAUGAUCCCAACACUGCAUUUUAUUUUCAAAAGCAUUGUGUUUACUUAAUAAGACUCCCUAUUUUGGCUCCUACAAAUAUAUAUAGUUCUUCCUCCACAUCAAGUGCUGAAAGGCAUUGUCUAUGAGGAAGGAGACCUCAUUAGAUGCAAAAUCUGCCUGUCUUCCGCUUUGGACUUCCCAACCUCCAAACUGUGAGAAAUAAAUUUCUGCUGUUUAUAAGCGAAGGAAAAACUAUACAAAGUGCAUUUGUGUGUGUGUGUGUGUGUGUGUGUGUGUGUGUGUGUGUGUGUGUGUGUGUGUGAAGAUGUGACAGAGAAAGAUGGGUGUAGUGGCUAAUGCCUUUAAUCUCAGCACUGGGGAGGCAGAGGCAGGUGGAUCUCUGUGGGUUUGAGGCCGGUCUGGUCUACAGAGUGAGUUCCAGCACAGCCAAAGCUACACAGAGAAACCGUGUCUUGAAAAACCAGAUUAAUUAAUUAAUCAAUGUAUCACCAUUGGUGAUUUCCAGGGGGUGGGAUUUUAUUUUAGCUUGUUUUAUUUCAAUUACUUGGAUAUUAUUUUUUUUUGUUGUUGUUGUUAUUUUGUUACAGGGUUUCUCUGGUAGCCUUUGCUGUCCUGGAAGACUCUCUGUAGACCAGACUAGCUUUUGAUUUUCACUCUGUAGAUCAGGCUGGCCUCGAACUUACAGAGAUCCUUCUGCCUCUGCCUCCCUAGUGCUGGGAUUAAAGGCGUGCGCCACCAUAUCCAGUUUAUUUAUUUUUAUUGAAAGUGUAUUAAGUGCAUUAUGUAUGUGUGCCACAUACUUGUCUGAUGGCCAGGAGGCCAGAAGGUGUUUGGUCCCCUGGAAUUAGAGUUAGGGAUGGUUGCAAUCUGCCACGUGGAUGCUGGGAACUGAACCCAGAUCCAUGACAAGAGUAGCAAGUGCUUUUAACCAUGGAGCCACCAUUUUGACCCACAGAUUUUUGUUUAUUUGUUUUAAUUAAGAAACAGAUACCAUUUGUGUGAUUUUAAAAGUUCAAAACCUCCCAGGUGGUGGUGCAUGCCUUUGAUCCACCACUCCGGAGGCAGAGGCAGGCAAGUCUGUGUGCAUACAAGACCAGCCUGAUCUACAGAAUGAAUUACAGGACAGCCAGGGCUAUACAGAUAAACCCUGCUUAAAAAAAAAAAAAAAAAAAAAAAAAAGGAAGAAAGAAAGAAAAGAAAAGUUCAAAGCCUGUGUCACAGGGGAUGCUGAGCAAUGUGGCUCCUAGCUGCCUCACCCAGCCUCUUCAGCCCCCAUUCUGGGGCUGCCGGGAUCCUGAAGGUCUUGAGAACAGCCUUUUACCCUGUCUAGCUACAAAACCACGUGACUUAUCUGGAGCUCUGGAAAUCCCAGGGUCUGUGCUCAUCUUCUUUGAGCCCAAUCCACUAUCCUGUAGGUACCCUGUCCUCUUUCUGCCCAUCUCCCCUUCUGCUCUGACUUCCUUCCCUCUUGCCCCAGCUCAGUUGAGCCCUGUUCCUCCUGUCUGUCAGCCCAUCUACCCAACUCCAGCCUUAUGGGAUGCUGCUGCUAAUCACUCUUCUGGCUUUCCCUCCUGGACACACCAGAGCAAAUGUGGAGGAAUAUGCAUAUGAGCGCCGCUGCCCUUGGAGUCCAGAAGACGUGUCAGACGCCCUGGAGCUGGACUUACAGUGAGCCACCUUAUAGGUGUCCUGGGAACCAAAUUCUGGUCCUCUGCAAGAACAGAAUGUACUCUUAACUCCUGAGCCAUCUCUCCAGACCCCUGGAUAAAGUUUUUGAAUGAGAAAAUACUUUGGGACUGGUGUUGAAGCCCAGCUGGUUGAAUGAUUGCCUAGUAUGCACAAGGCCCUAAGUUUAAUCCCCAGCACCACGGCAUGGUAGGGCACACCUGAAAUCUCAGCACUGAGACAUCAAAGCAGAAGGAUCAGAAGCUUAAGGUUAUCAUCUACUACAUAUCGAGUUUGAGGCCAACCUUGACUACAAGAGACCUAUCUCAAAAAACAAACAAACAAACAAAAACAAAAAACACCACCACCACCACCAACAACAACAACCAUCUCUUAAGCCACCCGAGGGGACAGCUUUGGACAAGACUGGGUGUUCAGUUUUGGUCUUGGAUUCUUGAUUUUCAGACCCUGGUUACCCUAAUUUCUGAAUUCUGUUUCCAGGUCUCUAGCUCUAGACAGUCAAUGGCUUUCCCAUGUAUCCGAUGCGGCUUUAGCCAGGCCAGUCUGCCAACGCCCAAGACUAUCAGGGGCAUUCCUGACUCUGUUGGUACUUACUGCCACCUCAUUCCAGCUCUGAGUUUCUUGUUUCUUCCUCCAACCACUCCAUCCCACCUUUCUUCAAAGAUAACUCAGACCCACAUCUGCCUCGUAGAUUUCUUGGCUCUGGGACCCUUCCAGGCUCUGAUCCCCCACAGACCCUUUCUCCAUCUGCAUGGCUUCUCAAGAGUUUUGAGCGGCUCAUGUCCUCAGGUCACAAACCUGAGCUGGUUCUUGUUUUACUCACAAGCUAGCAUACAGCUUGACACAGAAUGUAGAAGGAGGCCCUAGUGGCACCAGCUGUAUUCAGCUUGGCUGUGGGAAACCGGGAAGCAAUAUCUGGAGAGGUAGUAUUGGCUAACCCAGUAGUCACCUUAGUGGCUCUGCAGGUGACAAUCUAAAAAAACAUCUGGCCAGGCAUAUAGAUAGCAUUUAGACAUUGGUAUAUCCAUGUUUUUUUUUCCAUACCUGCUAUGUGUCAUCUAGUUCCUUGCUUGACUUGGAUUGGCCAGAGAUCACACACACACACACACACACACACACACACACACACACACACACAAAGAAUUGAAAUGAGGAGAACUAAUACAUAUUGUUUGGAGACAAAUCCAUAAAACAGCCACAAUGCAGCAGCAAAUCAUCCAAAGAGCCAACAUGCUCCUCAUUUUACACAAUAACUGGAAGCAAGCAAACGGUUAAAAUGUGGGCACUCCUCUUACUUGACACAUAAUAAGUAACGGCAGAAUGGGAAAGAUUGGUGGUGGCAGUGUGCAGUGUGGUGCUAGUGGGACAAACACAAGAUUAUUUUGUCCCCAUGUCCUUUUUUAAUAAUUUAUUUAUUUUUAUUUUGUGUACAUUUGUGUUUUGCCUGCAUGUGUGUCUGUGUGUGGGUGGUGAAUCCUGGAGUCACAGACAGUUGUGAGCUGACAUGUGGGUGCUGGGAAUUGAACCCGGGUCCUUUGGAAGAGCAGCCAGUGCUCUUGACCACUGAGCCAUAUCUCCAGCCCUUUGUCCACAUGUUCUAAGCUCUGCUUACACACUCUGCCUGUUGGGGAAGCUCACUCUCGUGUGAGACAACACCUUCCACUACUUGCUUAUCUAUCCUUUGGAAAGAUGCUCACAAGGAUGAGUUAAGUGCAGCCUCCCUAUCCCCUCUCGGCAGGUCACAGGUCAUGUCUUCAUCUCCAGGGAACACCUAAUGGAGCUGGGACAAGAUUAAAGUGGUAAAUUGGCUAAGACACAAACUUAAAAGUCU
ensembl:lncRNA